rnacentral:rRNA from 1 species
UACGAGGGGGGCAAGUGUUGUUCGGAAUCACUGGGCGUAAAGGGAGCGUAGGCGGAUGUUUAAGUUGGAUGUUUAAAACCGAGGCCUAACCUCGGAGCGGCAUCCAAAACUGGGCAUCUUGAAUAGGUCAGAGGCUGGUGGAAUUGGAGGUGUAGCGGUGGAAUGCGUAGAGAUCUCCAAGAACACCUAUUGCGAAGGCAGCCAGCUGGGACCAUAUUGACGCUGAGGCUCGAAAGCAUGGGGAGCAAACAGG